GCCCAGGGUGUCUGUGGGGAGGGAGGAGAGCGUCUUUACCAGGCUUUGCCCGUCUCUCUCUCUUGACUUCCCACAGUCUCUUCAGGCAAAGAUGAAAAUGGCUUCCCUCUCUUGGGGCCCUGUGAGGACAACGGGGCCUAAUUAAAAAAAAAAAAUCCCGGGAUGAAAAUGGCUAAGAGGGCAAUUUCCUCCUUGCAGAAUGGGAGAUCAAAUCAACGUUGGAGCAAUUAACAUAUGAGGGAGAGGUGGAAAGGGGGCCAGGCGUGUGGGUGCUGAUGACGGCCAGGCCGGGGAUUAAUCUCAAGGUCAGAUGGAGCUGUGGAUGACUUUCAGACACAGAGUACCUCCAGAAUUUCAGCAAGCCACCAGAAAGUGUUCACGUAUCUGAGACUGGUCUGUGCGACCCUUAGCUAGUAGCUGGAGUCGGCCAACAGUUUCUGACUGCAGGUUAUGAACAUCUCUGAUUAACUAAGAAGAGGGUGCUGUCUUCAUCCACACUCUUUACGUGGUACACAACACCUUUCCAGACGUCAGGUCCACGAGGGGGGAAACUGUAAACAGGUGGAGGAGAGUGAUUAAGGGAGCGAUCCGUCUUCUGUGAGGCCGGGGAGCGGCGCCUGCCGCCAGUGAGGACCCAGUCUCCGGGCUCAGGACGGGGGCCCUUCCCUCUCCUCUCGCUCCGGCUCUGUCCAGGGAGCUAAGGGGCUGAAGGCAGCAGGGGAGGCAGGCAGGACUGGGUCUGACCAGGGCACGUGGGGUGAUUGGCGGUGCCCUGUGCCCUCAGCCCGGCCGUAUUCCUGCUGCUUGCCGCUGAGCCUCACGCCAUGACCUGAGAAGCUGAGGCAUGGGUUACAGCCUCCUUCUUUACACUUGGGAGAAACCAAGGCCCAGUGGGUUCAGAGAAUGGGCCUAAACCUCACCAUGGGUUAACACAGACUGGGGUGGUGGAGCCAGCUGGAAAUAACAAGAAGAUUCCCCCACCUCCCACACCAGGCCUUCUGGAAAAUCUCCCCUGGCCUGGGGUAGUUCCCCUUUUAGAAGAAAGAGGCACUUUCAGGGCAUCACAUGUGCCCAGGCUCUGCUUAUACAAUGUAAAUGUCCCAGGAGUGCUGAUAGGUCAAGUGAGUGUGAGGCCCGCAGAGGAAAUAACUAAGAUUUCUGUCCCUGGAGGGACCCAAAAGCGCCCCAGAGAGAGCAUCU